rnacentral:pre_miRNA from 2 species
UCAGGUGUGGAAUUAUAGAUAGCGUGGGUGUGUGACCUUGUUUGUUACACAAAGAUCACCACCCCCUGUCUGCUUUCCACUCCUGA